GUUUUAGCAAAUGCAGCCCAAGGGGCUGGCAAAGAUCUCACUCUCCUUAGCCCUGUGUUUCCCCACUGUCUAAUCACUGUGUUACUUAUCCCACCCCAAAAGGAAGAGCGAGUGUAUAUAGCAUGAUGCACACAUCAUGGUCUUCUCACAGGACCACCCAGUAUGCUUCUCCAGGUCCAGACAACAAAAACAUACAGAGACAUUUAAAAUGAGAUGAAUCACAGGGCAGCAUUGAUCUCCCUGUUGCACAGACAGUAGAUGAUGGGGUUCAUAAAUGAGGGCACCAUGGUGUAGAAUAUGGCAAUCAGCAGAUUCUUAAGGGAUGGUUUAUUUGCAAUGGGUCCUAAG
rnacentral:lncRNA from 1 species